rnacentral:rRNA from 1 species
CAGCCGUAAACAAUGUGCGUUAGGUGUGUCGGUAACCACGCGUUACUGAUGCGCCGAAGAGAAAUCGUGAAACGCACCACCUGGGAAGUACGGUCGCAAGGCUGAAACUUAAAGGAAUUGGCGGGGAGGCACCACAACAGGUGGAGCCUGCGGUUUAAUUGGAUUCAACGCCGGACAUCUCACCGGAUAAGACAGCUGAAUGAUUGUCAAUCUGAAGGUUUUACAUGACUAGCUGAGAGGUGGUGCAUGGCGUCAGUGACU